GAUGAACGCUGGCGGCGUGCCUAAUACAUGCAAGUCGAGCGAACGGACGAGAAGCUUGCUUCUCUGAUGUUAGCGGCGGACGGGUGAGUAACACGUGGAUAACCUACCUAUAAGACUGGGAUAACUUCGGGAAACCGGAGCUAAUACCGGAUAAUAUUUUGAACCGCAUGGUUCAAAAGUGAAAGACGGUCUUGCUGUCACUUAUAGAUGGAUCCGCGCUGCAUUAGCUAGUUGGUAAGGUAACGGCUUACCAAGGCAACGAUGCAUAGCCGACCUGAGAGGGUGAUCGGCCACACUGGAACGGAGACACGGACAAGACGCCUACGGGAGGCAGCAGUAGGGAAUAUUCCGCAAUGGGCGAAAGCAUGACGGAGCAAAGCCGCGUGAGUGAUGAAGGUCUUCGGAUCGUAAAACUCUGUUAUUAGGGAAGAACAUAUGUGUAAGUAACUGUGCACAUAGUGACGGUACCUAAUCAGAAAGCCACGGCUAACUACGUG
rnacentral:rRNA from 1 species